rnacentral:rRNA from 1 species
UGGGGAAUAUUGCACAAUGGGCGCAAGCCUGAUGCAGCGACGCAGCGUGAGGGAUGACGGCCUUCGGGUUGUAAACCUCUUUCACCAGGGACGAAGCGCAAGUGACGGUACCUGGAGAAGAAGCACCGGCCAACUACGUGCCAGCAGCCGCGGUAAUACGUAGGGUGCGAGCGUUGUCCGGAAUUACUGGGCAUAAAGAGCUCGUAGGCGGUUUGUCGCGUCGUCUGUGAAAUUCUGCAACUCAAUUGUAGGCGUGCAGGCGAUACGGGCAGACUUGAGUACUACAGGGGAGACUGGAAUUCCUGGUGUAGCGGUGAAAUGCGCAGAUAUCAGGAGGAACACCGGUGGCGAAGGCGGGUCUCUGGGUAGUAACUGACGCUGAGGAGCGAAAGCGUGGGUAGCGAACAGG